rnacentral:rRNA from 1 species
UACGAAGGGGGCUAGCGUUGUUCGGAAUUACUGGGCGUAAAGCGCACGUAGGCGGAUAUUUAAGUCGGGGGUGAAAUCCCGGGGCUCAACCCCGGAACUGCCUUCGAUACUGGGUAUCUUGAGUUCGGAAGAGGUGAGUGGAAUUGCGAGUGGUAGAGGUGAAAUUCGUAGAUAUUCGCAGGAACACCAGUGGCGAAGGCGGCUCACUGGUCCGAUACUGACGCUGAGGUGCGAAAGCGUGGGGAGCAAACAGG